rnacentral:lncRNA from 1 species
CACAGCCUGAAAGUCUGUUCGGGAGUUUCAGUAGCAGCUUCUCACAGGGACAGCAAUAAACAUUUUCAUCUGAACUUCUGGCUUAGUAUCAGGACUUUUGGAAAACGAAAGGCAAAGAGAAAAAUAGAGGUGCAGAAAGGAGGACUCCAUGCAUAAAGGCAUCCAUUAAGAAGUUCAUGAUGUUCCUUCCUCCUCAUGUCUCCUCCUCUGAAUCAUACAGUGGCUUCUCUGCAACCCAGCCAGUUUCCCUUUCUCUUGGCUGAUCCUACAAGUAAACAAAACGCACCUGCCAAGAAAAUUCCACUGCCUGGAGCCUGCCUUCAGCAUGGACUCAUGGCCUCAACCAUUAAGUGACUUUUGCUUAAAUGGAAGAUGUUUAAGUUAAUGAUCUCCCAUUGUUAACCAUGUGUCACCCCUCUGUGCAAUUUCAGUUCAAAAUGGUCGUAAGAAUAUGGCCAGGAGGGAUAAAUGCCUACUUUCAAAACAGAGUUUCCAGCCUGCCAAAGAAAGUUCUACAAUAUCCAGCAGAAUUAAUAAGAAGUUCAUGCUAUUUCUAAAUUUGUAGCUGUGCCAGUAGACUCUGGUUCACAUCUGAUUUCAGAGGAGGUUUUCUGAAUGGACUAAAAGCCACAUAAUUAAGUUAAUAGCUAAUAAUCUAUAUAUGUAGUUAAAAAGACGUUUUUAACAAAUACCUAGAUAAAGCUGAUAAAGCAUCUUGAAGAAAGUUAAUUAGGUCACUGUCUUCAAAUCUAAUUUUUUAGUAUACUUGUGUACUGUGGCUGGAAAGAGUCUUGGAAACCCCUUCAUAUCUUCAACAGUUAAAUAAAUAUUAGGGCUUGCAAGCCUAUCUGAGACUG